AACAGUCAUUAAGAUUGUGCAGAAAAGUCAAUAUUCGCGCACGGCGGUACUUAAUAACCCUAAAAUUAUAACUGAUCCCGGCCUUUGCGCAGCGCACGCAACCAAACACUCUAGUACCGCGCUUGUUGAUCGAGUUCCCGUCACGUUGGAGCCAAGGGCUGCUGACGAGAUGUUAAACACCCCUUACGGUGGUGCAUACCGGCAGACACCAGGCUCGCCGCGAGAGUUAACCGCCGUUUAGCGAGUACGACUCGGUGGCGGCAAGACGGAUAUAGCUAAUCCUACAAAUACUUCCAUCCCCACCUAGCGUCGCCCACCUAGCGUCUUCUGUGUCCCUUUGAAUGAGUCGCAUUCCUUUGCAUGUGCUGAGGCGAUGACAUUUCUAAGAGGCUGUCAUCGCGGUCACCGCUGGUGUCACUCUCGACAGUUGUGUUUCCGUGGUGUUCCACAUUCACUUCGAUGACGUAAUUAGGAAACCAUUCAAGCGCUCAUGGGCUCGCGGCUACAA